UAAGGUGCAUCGUGCGUUCCGUCGCUGUGGCGGCUGCCCUCGUCUCCGUCCCGCUGCCGUUCCCGGGCGCUCUUCCGCAGUCGUCGGUCUCGGAAUGCAGCGGAACACGCUCAUUGGCUGGCGCGCCCGUUCCCCUUCGGCGCCCUGACGUGCUAAUAGGCGCGGCGUCCCGUCAGUCAGGCGGUCUGCCGUUGCCACGGCGAGGCCGCGGGCUGCGACGGACGGGUCGCGAUGGCCGGCGUGGAACUGUUCUCACACCCUGCGCUCCACACGCGCUACCGGGCCGGACUCUGCUCCGCCGCGGCGCUGGCGCUGUUGCUCAUCACGGUGCUCACCUACGUGCCGCCGCUGCUAGUGGCCUACCGGAGCCACGGUUUCUGGCUGAAGCAGAGUGCGUAUCUGGAGCAGCCCACGGUGCGGUUCCGGUACGAGGUGCUCUUUGUGGCCACCGUCGGGCCAGGGCCGGGCAACUUCUUGGCGUGGAGCACGUUCCCAGCGUUCAACAGGCUCCAGGAGGACCGGCUGCGAGUCCCACUCCUGUCGACUAGAGAAGAAGACAAAAAUCUAGAUGGCAAAAUGGAUCAGCUGCAUUUUAAAUUGGAACUUCCGCUACAACCUACAGAGCAUGUAGUUGGUGUUCAGCUGAUUCUACUCUUUUCCUACCAGCUUUAUAGGAUGUCAACAUUUGUGAUGCAGAGCAUGGCUUUUCUUCAGUUUUUUUCUCCUGUGCCAGGGUCUCAGCUCUAUGUGAACGGAGACCUGAAAUUGAACCAGAGGCAAUUACUUAACCAUUGUGGACUGGAUACCAGAUACAAUGUGUCUGUGGUCAAUGGCACGAGUCCUUUUGCGAAUGACUAUGAUCUAACAAACAUCAUUGCAUCAUACUGGGAUAGAAAUGUGACAACAGUCUUUUCAGAUCCCAACCCUGUUUGGAUGACUGGAAGAGCUACAGAUACACCAUUUAUCAUUAACGCUACUAUUCAUUACCCAGUGGAAGUUAUCUUAUAUCAGCCAGGAUUUUGGGAAAUUAUUAAAUUUGCCUGGAUCCAGUAUGUCAGCAUUCUCCUUAUCUUUCUUUGGGUAUUUGGUAGGAUUAAAAUGUUUGUGUUCCAGAAUCAGGUCUUGACUACGACUCAAAUAUCACCAGUUCUGCCGCCGUCUCCAGUACUGUCCUACAAACAGCACCAGUGCUGAGGAGAUGCCUGAGAACACUUUAAAGAAAUGCAGUUCAAGGAUACCUACUUUUAUUCUCAAUAUGCUUUUUACUUCAGAAGAUCAGAAUUUUUUAAAGAACCUCGAGCGGGUCCAGAGGAGGCCACGAAGGUUAUCGGGGGCUGAAGUAUCUCCCCUACAAGGACAGGAUGAGAGUUGGGGUUGCUCAGCCUAGAGAAGACAAGGCUCUGAGGAGACUUCAUAGCAGCAUUCCAGUACUUAAACGGGGCCUACAUGAAAGAUGGGGAGGGACUCUUUGUCAGGGACUGCAGGGAUAGAACAAGGGGUAGCGGCUUUGAACUGAAAGAGGGUAGAUUUAGAUUAGAUGUAAGGAAGAAAUUCUUUACUGUGAGGGUGCUGAGACACUGGAACAGGUUACCCAGAGAAGCUGUGGUU